UAUGUGAUCGUCUCUCGCAUAUCAAUAAGCGGAGGAAAAGAAACUAACAAGGAUUCCCCUAGUAACGGCGAGUGAAGCGGGAAGAGCUCAAAUUUGAAAUCUUAAAGGGUUUCCCUUUACGAAUUGUAGUUUAAAGAAGUGUUUUCUGUUGAGGUUUUGGUAAAAGUUCUUUGGAAUAGGACAUCAUAGAGGGUGAGAAUCCCGUAUUUGACCUUUACUUUCAACUUUGUGAUACACUUUCAAAGAGUCGGAUUGUUUGGGAAUGCAGUCCAAAAUGGGUGGUAAAUUUCAUCUAAAGCUAAAUAUUGGCGAGAGACCGAUAGCGAACAAGUACCGUGAGGGAAAGAUGAAAAGAACUUUGAAAAGAGAGUUAAACAGUACGUGAAAUUGUCAAAAGGGAAGCGUUUGACACCAGUGUUGUUUUUCUGAAAAUCAAUUAAAGAACUGUUUAUGCUAAGUUGUUUAGACUUUAUCAGCUAUCUGUUUAGUUUUGAGCUUUUCUUUAAUGCACUUUUCAGUUAACAAGUCAACAUCAAUUUCUUUUGCUGUAAAAAAGCUUGAGGAAGGUGGCUUGAGAUUCGUCUUAAGUGUUUAUAGCCUCUUGCCUAUGCAGUCGGAGAGAUUGAGGUCUGCAGCGUAGAUCCUUCGGGGCUAAAUGCAUUUGUGCUAAGUUAUAGCAUUUUAUAGACAACUUGUUGACUAUGAUUUGUCUUGUAGCUUACUCGCUUAUGUUAUUUUACCUACGCUUAGGAUGUUGAAUCUGUGCGAGACUAC
rnacentral:rRNA from 1 species